UUUAAAUUGAGAGUUUGAUCCUGGCUCAGGACGAACGCUGGCGGCGUGCCUAACACAUGCAAGUCGAGCGAGGAACUUCGGUUCCUAGCGGCGGACGG
rnacentral:rRNA from 1 species